GUGGGGAAUCUUCCGCAAUGGACGAAAGUCUGACGGAGCAACGCCGCGUGAGUGAAGAAGGUUUUCGGAUCGUAAAGCUCUUUCGUUAGGGACGAACGUGCUCUUUGUGAAUAAUGAGGAGUAAUGACGGUACCUAAAUAAGAAGCCACGGCUAACUACGUGCUAGCAGCCGCGGUAAUACGUAGGUGGCAAGCGUUGUCCGGAAUUAUUGGGCGUAAAGCGCGCGCAGGCGGGAUAUCAAGUCUGUCUUAAAAGUGCGAGGCUCAACCUCGUGAGGGGACAGAAACUGGUAUUCUUGAGUGUCGGAGAGGAAAGUGGAAUUCCAAGUGUAGCGGUGAAAUGCGUAGAGAUUUGGAAGAACACCAGUGGCGAAGGCGACUUUCUGGACGAUGUCUGACGCUGAGGCGCGAAAGCUAGGGGAGCGAACGGGAUUAGAAACCCUAGUAGUCC
rnacentral:rRNA from 1 species